UUAUAUCUGUGCUGGACUACAUGGACAAAGUUUUUGAAAUUGCUGUUUUACUUCAAAUGGUAAGCUAAACAGCCAGCUGUGCAAGAUCUUUGUCAGUUGCAGAUAAGGUGAAAAACAUAUAUAACACUUCAUUUAUUUAAUUCGGUGAGUGUUUUGUUUGUUUUUAAAGGAUAUAAAAAGCUUACAUUAUGUGGUAAGCAGGUGCAUAAUAAUGUUUCUGUAGGUGGGCAGUCGAUAUCAUUGGGAUUUGCAGUGGAAAUUGGUAACAUUUAUUUUUCUUGUAGCCAUUAAUGGAUUAAAAGUCAGACUGCAGAGCAGUACGUGUAAAUGUGCACAAGAACAGGCAAAAAGAGGCUCCUUUAAAAAUAUAUUCAUUUCUGUCUGUAUUUAGAACCUGCUUAGUACUUCGGUAACACUGAGUAUCGAGCGGAUGGAAGUGCUGGUUAUGUGCUUAUUUGUGUCUGGAGGACUGGAACAGAUCUGUCCGAAGCAGCUUCUGUCACGGUGCGCUCCAGAAAAACAGAACCAAUAUCGGCAGAGGGAAUAUCAAUGUUCUGCUCUGUCAUCAGUGGUGAUGUCUGCUGACCACCCUGGCCUCGCAUUUACAGUUACGAAGCGAGCUGACCCUCCAGCAGCCUGUGCAGGAAUGGAGUUUUCUCUCUGAUUUUGCUGUGAGUUUGCACUCUGACUUCAAUCUAGAGAAGCAAAGGGAAUUGCCUUUUUUUUUUUUUUUUAACAUAUUUUCCAGACAGUCAUCAGCAGUAUAAGAUCAGUAAGCAUCAACUCAUUUGGAUGCAGUCAGACGCUUUCAUUGCAUAACGAACAGUCAUAAGUCCCUGGUGUCCCUGGAUCUCGAGUCUGGAGGCCUGAAUCCUAGUGAGCACCUUCCAUUGAGCAGGCCAGUGCUAGAGCUGUGGGCAGUCUUGAAGAAUUUGCCUUAACGUUGUCACCCUCGGUGUUGUCAGGAGACCGUGAUCCUGCAGCUCCUGCUGCAAUUGUGUCUGAUACGGACAUCGGGUUCCAACAGGUACAGCCUUUUGCUUAGGACUUACAAUUUUUUUCUUGAGGCCUAAUGGGCAAAACUGGCCAAAAGCAAAUGAAGGUUGGGUGGCAGGUGUUCUGUAACCGCUGAAACAGGUGGUCUGGUAUAGGCCAUCCAGUAGCAGUUGUCAGGAGAAAAUGAAAUGUUUUCAGAUGGAGACUUUUACAGUGCUUUCAGAUUGCUGUAGAUGUCAUCAUCUCUGGUGAGAUAAAAGUGAACUAAAUGAUUCUUUUUUCUUGUAAUUAAAAUCUUCUUUUUCCAUUUAUUUACCUCAUAGUCCAACCUAUUCCUAAGUACUUUGCUGCUUUUUUUUUUUUCUUUCAGCAAGGUGGGGGAAUGGGCAGGGAGUAGUGUUGGUUUAGUU
rnacentral:lncRNA from 1 species